UGAGGAAUAUUGCGCAAUGGACGAAAGUCUGACGCAGCAACGCCGCGUGUGGGAAGAAGGCCCUCUGGGUUGUAAACCACUGUUGGGAGGGAAGAAUGUCCGGAGCAAGGCUUCGGAGUGACGGUACCUCCAUAGAAAGCCCCGGCUAACUACGUGCCAGCAGCCGCGGUAAUACGUAGGGGGCAAGCGUUGUCCGGAUUUACUGGGUGUAAAGGGCGUGUAGGCGGAUCGUUAAGUCAGAGGUGAAAGCUCACAGCUCAACUGUGAAAUUGCCUUUGAUACUGGCGGUCUUGAGUACGAAAGAGGAAGAUGGAAUUCCUGGUGUAGCGGUGAAAUGCGUAGAUAUCAGGAGGAACACCGGUGGCGAAGGCGGUCUUCUGGUUCGUAACUGACGCUGAGG
rnacentral:rRNA from 1 species